rnacentral:rRNA from 1 species
UACGUAGGGGGCAAGCGUUAUCCGGAUUUACUGGGUGUAAAGGGAGCGCAGACGGCAGUGCAAGUCUGAAGUGAAAUACCGGGGCUCAACCCCGGGCUUGCUUUGGAAACUGUACGGCUGGAGUGCCGGAGGGGUGAGCGGAAUUCCUAGUGUAGCGGUGAAAUGCGUAGAUAUUAGGAGGAACACCGGUGGCGAAGGCGGCUCACUGGACGGCAACUGACGUUGAGGCUCGAAAGCGUGGGGAG